rfam:Salmo salar isolate Sally breed double haploid chromosome ssa08, whole genome shotgun sequence.
UGUAUUUGCUACUGUAAGUCACUCUGGAUAAGAGCGUCUGCUAAAUGACUAAAA